rnacentral:tRNA from 1 species
GGUCGCUUAGCUCAGUUGGUUAGAGCGUGGUGCUAAUAAGCAUUCCUUUGAUAACGCCAAGGUCGCAGGUUCGACCCCUGCAGUGAUCA